rnacentral:lncRNA from 1 species
UUCUAAAGCUUUCUCAGCCAUGACGUCUUGUAUCAAACAAAUAUCUCUCCAACACCCUCCUCAAGUUGGAGGGACCGGUCCAACUAAUAGUUUAGUGAAAAUGUCAACGACCUGAGACCGUGAAGGAAUGUAAGAAAGAGAGCUGAUACUGGCCAAAACUUGUUGCCGGACAGAGUGACAAUCCAAUUUGACAUGCUUGGUACGCUCGUGAAAGACCAUGUUUUUGGCGAUGUGAAUGGCGGAAUGACUGUGAGAGAGGAGAUCUACAGGCAAUGGAGGGGAAAUUGAAUGAUCAGACAACAAGCGCACUAACCAAGUAACCUCAGCAGUGACUCUUUGCAUAGACAUGUACUCUGCUUCAAAAGAGGAUAAUGACAACGAGGUUUGUUUCUUUAAUUUCCAGGAGACGGGAGAACCCCCAAAGCUAAUAACGAACCUGUUAAUAGACUUGCGAGUUUGAGGACAAGAUCCCCAAUUGGAAUCACAUAAAGCAAAGAGCUGAUAGUCAUGCUUUGAAUUCAGAAAAAACCCUAAACCUGGAUCCUUGACGAGGUGCUUGCAUUAAUUGGCUGAGAUCGUGCACUGCAAAGGAUAAGUCCGUCCUGAUGUGUGUUAGGAAAUUCAUCUUUCCUCAAACGAAGAUAAUAAGUGGGAUCUUGGAUGAGAGUACCUGCCUCUUUACAAUUUCUAAGUAGGAUCCAAGGGAGAAGAAACUGGUCACAUAUUCAUGCAAUCAAAUUCUAACAGAAGAUCAGAGGUAAAACGUCUUUGAGUCAAAAUUAUCCCAUGUGCUUCCCUUAUAAUUUCAAACACCAAAAAAUAAUGUGAAUUCCCUAAGUCUUUUAUUCUAAAUUCAGAAUGAAGGAAAGAUUUGAGCUCUUCAUAUUCAAUAAAGUCAUCCCCUGUUAUUAAAAAAUUAUGAACCUAAACAACAAAUGUGGUAAUCCUUCAUUCUGAUUCUUUAAAGAACAAGGAAUAAUCAUCUAAAGAGUGUGAAUAUCCUUUUAUAUUUAGAGCUGCAAUGAGCCUUACAUACCACUGCCUUGAGUCUUGCCGAUGUCCAUAGAGUGAAUUUUUCAAAGGCAGACAUGAUUGGGUGAAGGCGGUGUAAUCCCAGCUGGGAAUUUCAUAAAUACUUCUUCCAACAAAUCCCCAUGCAGGAAGGCUUAUUCACAUCUAAUUGUGACACAUUGUAUCACCCUUUUUUCUUACUGCAAUAUCACGUAAGCAUCUAAUUGUUGUCAUUUUUACAAUUGGGAAAAAAGUCUCGGUAAAGUCUAUCCAUUCUCUUUGAGUGUCUAUCGUGAUAACCAAAUGAUAUUUGAAUCUUUCUAAAUAUAUAUCAGACUUUUAUUUCACUUUGUAGACCCACUUGCAAGGAAGAGCUUUUUUUCCACUAGGUAAAGGCACAACCUCUUAGGUUUUGUUCAGAUCCAGAGCCUCCAAUUCUUUUUCCAUUGCUUCUUGCCAUCUUGGAUGUAAUGCUUCAUGUGAGUAAGAAGUAGGUUCAACAAAGUAGGAAGUGGAAUUGAGCAUAGACUUAUUGGUAGGUGAAAAAGCUGUGAAGGGUAUAAUAGUAGGCUGGAUGGGUGGAGUGAAGCAGGAAGUUGUGAGAUCUGUGAGAAAGACUAAGUUGCAAAUAUAAUCCUGGAGAUAUGAGUGUGCAUUAUAUGUUCUAGUGGAUUUCCUGACUUCAAGAAGACAUAUAGGUAAGGGUGAAGGAGGAGAUGAUCUCGGUUGAGAAAUAGAACUUGUACCUGUGGUGGAAGAAAGAGUGCUGGAGUUGCUUGGGUUUGAAAAAGUAGGCAGUGAAGGUAAGGGUAAGUUGGGAAUGGAAGGCUCUUCCUCAAUGUGUUCUGAUGAGUAUUCUACACUACAGUCUAGGUGUGAGGUGACAGGGAAGAAGGAAUUUAUAGGUGUAGUAAUAGAGGCAAAAAGUACUGAUAUUCAUAUAAGUACACAUCUCUGGAUACACUCAAUCUUCUUGUAUCCAACUCUAAAACUUUGUAACCCUUCUACACCAAUGAAUAACCGAAGAAUACACAGGUCUUUGCCCUUGGGUCAAACUUACCUCUUCCACUAACUAAGGCAGAUACAUAGCAAAGACAACCAAAACACUUCAAGAGUUCAUAAGAGGAUUUCUGUUUGAAUAGAACAAAAUAAGGUGUCUUUCCUUUAUGUACUCUAGAACGUAACCUAUUGAUCAACUAAGUUGUAGUUAGUACGGAUUCUCCCGGAUAAAGAUGAGGAAGCUUAGACUGAAACAAUAAAGCCUUUACAAUUUCCAAAAGAUGUCUGUGAUUUCUCUCAACCACUCCAUUCUGUUGAGGGGUUGCCACACAUUAUAUUUGAUGUAGUAUUCUGUGAUAUGCUACAAAUGAUGCAUCAUGAGUGCCUUUCCCAAGCUUAAAGCAUUAUCUGUCCUUAUCUUUUGUACCUUUACACCAAAUUGUCUUUCCACUAUUGUGAAGAAAUUUUUUAAGGAGUCCAAAAGCAUUGCUUUUGUUGCUCAUAAGUAAUGUCCAAACUGCCCUACUAUAGUCAUCUACAACUGUUAAGAUGUACUUAAAACCAUUAUAAGUUUGGGCUCCCAAAAAUCUACAUGGAUUAACUUAAAUGCUCUUAUUUAUUUAAUUUGACUUAAAAGUAAAAGGAAUUCUGGUUUGCCUAGCUUAGGCCAAAUUUGACAAAAACAAACAAUUAGAGCUAAAAGGAAAGGAAUUAAAACUGAGAUUUUUCAUUGAUGAAAAGGGCAAAUGUCUAAUCUAAUGUGCGAAAGGCUUACAUCUGAAACUAAACUUGCAGAAAAAGGAAAAGAAACUGACAAUUGACUAAAAACAUCUUGAUUUAAAAUUGAAACUGGUUCCACACUUGUGCUACUUCUAAUUCCCCUCGGUUAUAAAUGGUAGAGACCAUAUCUUGCCUUUCCAAAAAUUUGUUCCCUCUUCACUAAAGGCCCCUGCAACAUACGGUCAGUAGAAGUAAAGAGAGAAUAGAAUGAAAUAGUAAAUAAAACUUGUUAACAAAUAACAGAUUGUAUCUGAAACUUGAUACAUAUAAUACAUUCUCUAAAAUGAAGUCAGGUGGAAUAGAUAUUCUUCAUGUGUGACUGAUAGUGACUUUGAAAGAAUUAAGCAGAUUUACGUUUUGGGGAACGAAAGGGGUGUUAAGGUAAUAAAAGUAUUUGAGUCAAAACACGUAUAUUUAGAUGCACCAGAGUCAAUAAUCCAUGUACUAAAAUUAAAAAAUAACAAGAAAGUUGCAGAAUACCUAGCAAUAGUACCACCAACAACAUUAGCAUUGAUAUCACUUCUACAAUUUCUUGAAUCUCUUACCAUAACCUGUUUGAUUAAUUGAACCAAUUAUGAAAACUGAUCUUGUGAGAGAUUUGAUUCAAAACUUCAUUCUGAUUGCUGCUAUCAUUAUCUAUCUCUUCAAUUUGAUAUGCUCCAUUGCUUUUGCUCUGAACUUGAUUUCCCUUGUGAACUCGAAAUCUUCUGGAAAACCUAUAAUUCUUUAGCAAUAACUGAUUGUGUGCCUUACUUUCUUGUAAUGACUGCAUGUUGCAUUAGGGUUAAACUUAGUUUUCUUUCCCUUGAAAUUUGUGUCUCUUUGAGUAGUACUCUUUUGGAUGUUGUUCCCAAACUUUUGAUACUGCAUGGGUUUCCUUUGCAUAUGCUCUACACCUCUUUGAAGUUAUUUUGAAUUGUGACCAUGAAAGAUGAAGAUUCUGGGGAAAUGAUUGGGCUAGAAAAAACUUCCUUCUGGCACUGAUCUCGAAACACCAGGGAAUAUGUAUGGUUGAUGCUUGGUAGGGGAUUCAUCAUCAGGAUAGUUUUCCUUGCUUGACCAUAACUAUCUUUUAGACCCAGAAGAAAUUGGAUAAACCUUUCAUCAUCUAGUCAUUUUUCUAGUUUUUGCUUCCUUUCACAUACACACAAGCAACUGCACUUCACAUCACAGUUAAGGUAAGCCAAUUCAUCCCACAAAGCUUCGAGUAGCUUGCCAUGUCACUAGUUUCUUGUACUACCCUGAUAAUUCCUUCCUUAGGUGAUAGAGCUUUGCUCUAUAUGACUAACCGAACCUAUGUUCAAGGCUGGUCCAAAGAUCUUUAGCAUAUUUAGAGUAAAUGACAUUGUCUUAUGUCUUUGGAUAGUGAGUUGAGUAACUAGGAUAUUACCAUGUUAUUACAUCUGCUCCAAGGCUAAUAAUCUGUGGAAGUAAGAGUCGAAGCAGGGCAAGCACUAUUUUGUUUUUGGCAGAUAAUCCUAUAAGAACAGACUUUCUCCAUCCUCGUAAUCCUCUCCCAUAAAAAACUUUAUUAACAAGAGACAUUCCCGGUGCAUCAGAAGCAUGAAAUACGUAUGCAUGAUUUGAGUCGAUGGUGGGCAUUCCUCCAAUGAUACCCACUGUGGUUUCAGUGUUAUCAGGCUUUGUAUAGGAUUUAUAUGAAGGUGAGGAAGGCGAUCGAUGGAUCGAGCUUUCACUACCAUGAUAACAUUGUUGAAGUUUGGCAAAAUGCCAAAGUCCCACAUCGGUGAGUUAUUGUUUUGGUUUGGGAUUUUUCCCUAUAAAAGAAGGCCUAAUGUUUAGAAUUUAAACACACUUCUCAUUUGCCUUCUCAUCUGUUUAAGGCAUUUGUAUCUUCUCUCUUUAGUAUUAUUUCACUUGAAUUUUUGGAGUGUAAUAAAAUAUUGGUUGUUUCCGAGGAGUAGGCAAAGUUGGCGGAACCUCGUAAAUUCUUGUGUUCCUUUUAUUGUUGCUUUAUUAUCUUAUUUAUUAUUUAGUUGCUGCCAUAAUUUUUGGUAUAUUAAUUAUGACUCAUUCACACUAAAUACAUUUGGCUUCCGCAAUAACCAUGAAGAAAUAUUGAAAAGAAGAGACAGAUGAAAAAUUUCAAUGUAUUUCAUUUCCUUCCUUUACGUAUAUAUGCAAAAUAAAUGAAUCAAACUAUGUUACUCUA